rnacentral:sRNA from 1 species
UGACUAAGGUUCGACUCGAGCGCCAGCGAGAGAGCGUUGCCGCAGGCAACGACCCGUAGGGCGAAGCGCGCAGCGCUGAGUAAUCCUUCCCCCACCACCA